rnacentral:rRNA from 1 species
AGCAGUCGCCGCGGUAAUACGAGGGGAGCUAGCGUUAUUCGGAAUUACUGGGCGUAAAGCGCACGUAGGCGGCUUUGUAAGUUAGAGGUGAAAGCCCAGAGCUCAACUCCAGAAUUGCCUUUAAGACUGCAUCGCUUGAAUCCAGGAGAGGUGAGUGGAAUUCCGAGUGUAGAGGUGAAAUUCGUAGAUAUUCGGAAGAACACCAGUGGCGAAGGCGGCUCACUGGACUGGUAUUGACGCUGAGGUGCGAAAGCGUGGGGAGCAAACAGGAUUAGAUACCCCAGUAGUCCCUGUCUCUUAUAC